CUCCCCCGGGGCCCCCUGGCCUCGCUGCCGGCCCCAGCCUGGCAACGGCUUGCGGGGGGCUCGCAAGGGAGGGGCGGGCAGGCCGGGCGCGGCGGGAAGGGACCCCUGUGCCAGCCGCUUCACCCUAAAGCCCAGGCGGCCGCAGCUGCGCUCCGCCGAGCCUCUGGCUCCAUCACCAGACCCGAGCGGGGAAGCGGCCCGAGCGGGGGAGACCCCCGCAGACAGCCCGGCCUGGCCCCCAGGACCCGGGGGGAGAGGUUAACAGGAGGUCCUCAAGAUGCAUCAGCCACAUCUGUUCCCUUCCUUGUCUGCUUGGCCCCCCCAUGCGCUUGUAGCCAGCAGCGUCCCUCGGGGCUGCACCUGGGCUGUAAAUGCCUCCUGUUCCCCCCGGAGGGCACCGACCUUGGAGCAGGCUCAACCUCCGCUCAGCUCCUGCGCCACUGCAGGAAGCUGACGAUGAUGAAGGAGAGUGCAGGCGCAGGGAGCGCGGUGGUGCAGUCCAUCCGGACCACACAUCUAGGGGUGCUCCAGUCACGGUCAGGAUAGAAGACAAGGAGGUCCUACUGGCGAUGCUGUAUUUCCACAAUCUUCUCAGUGUUUGAGAUCAAAAAAGGAAGUGUUCAGAGACGAGUGCAAUAAAGACCGGGCUGCUGGGGUAGAAUGUCA
rnacentral:lncRNA from 1 species